CAUAUAUGGGCACCAACAAGUUAGAAACAAACUUGAAACAACCAACUGAAAAACCAUUGUCUCUUUACGUCGAGUGAACGGCACCCUCAUCUGCCUUCGAUUUUCGUAAACUUUCCGCAUUAACCAUAGAUAUAUGAUGAUAAGCGCAGCAGUUAUCAAAAAUAGAAUAAGGUCAAAAAACACAGUCACUCGAGUUGCCGCCUCUUUGUGCCACUGUAUUAAACAAAUUGCAUAUUUUGAUUGGUAGUAACUACCAAGUCUCGUCAAAGGUAUAAUUGCCAUAAACAUGCCGUAUAAUGUACAGCACACAAAAAUAAUUAUAGGAACAUUGCUUUCACCUCCAACGUAACUAUGAUAUUUAAAUGGCUUGAGUAAAUUGUAUAUUUUGUCCAGCAGCCCAACAAGAAUUCCAACUACAGCAAAAUUAAAACCGAAUGUACGCAGGAAACCAAAGAAGAGUCACAUAAUCCAUCGGAGAUUUCAUUAUUUCUUGCCAAAAGCGUCGCCAUAUUUACAAGCAAACUCAACCCGACCAAAGAGAAAGCGAGAUUCGUACAAAUAAGAUUCCAUAGUCCAUGAAUUUUUCGACCAGGUUCAGACUUUUCACGACUAACUUUUGAUAGCCACAGUAUAAAGCUGGUAAAAAUAUUUCCAAUACAAAUAAUGAGGCCAAGAAGAAGCCAUAUUACGCUCAAAUACUUUGGCUGGGGAACGUCUGCUUCCAUGACCAAAGUGAAUAUCAGGAAGUUCUUGAGGUUCUUGAAUCUUCAACGAAAGCAUGCAUCCUUGCAUAUUUGGACUUUGGAAUUAUUAAUUAUAAUACUGAUGUAAGAACGUUUUUGAUUGGCUGAAGUGCGCGGCAAAAAGCGCGGAAUUAUAAAACCAUUUUCGUUGUUUAAUUUAAUAUAUAAAAGUAUAAUUUGGUGAAUAAAAAGACCUAAACUCUAAAAACACUCAGCUACUUACGUUUGACUAUAUUAUGUGGAAGUCUUCAGUCAGGUAUAUAAAAGCCUAUAGACUAGCGAAACUCUAGUAGGUCUAGUAGGGGCCUAGUAUCUACUGACUCUACUAGCCGGAAGUCAAAUAGAUUUUUUGCCAUGUUCAGAGUAGUAGUUAGCCUAAAAGCACA